rnacentral:rRNA from 1 species
GAUGAACGCUAGCGGCAGGCCUAACACAUGCAAGUCGAGGGGUAACUAGAGUGAUAGCAAUAUUACUUUGGCUAGACCGGCGCACGGGUGCGUAACACGUAUGCAACCUACCUUAUACUGGGGAAUAACUUCGAGAAAUCGGCGCUAAUACCCCAUACCAUUGCGAAGAGGCAUCUCUUUGCAAUUAAAGCUCCGGCGGUAUAAGAUGGGCAUGGGUCCAAUUAGCUAGUUGGUGAGGUAACGGCUCACCAAGGCUACGAUUGGUAGGGGUUCUGAGAGGAUGAUCCCCCACACUGGUACUGAGACACGGACCAGACUCCUACGGGAGGCAGCAGUGAGGAAUAUUGCGCAAUGGACGAAAGUCUGACGCAGCCAUGCCGCGUGCAGGAUGACGGCCCUAUGGGUUGUAAACUGCUUUUGUACGGGAAUAAACCCUUCUACGUGUAGGAGGCUGAAGGUACCGUAAGAAUAAGCACCGGCUAACUCCGUGCCAGCAGCCGCCGUAACAC